CAAUGGGCCAUGUAUGCUAGCUUGAAACGAAAAUGAAACCCAGUCGCAACCUCCUCCUGGGCCUGUGCUCCAUGCUGGCUCUAGGAUUCCUAUACUACUCAUCGGGGAGGAUCAGCUUACAAGGCUGGGUCAACAAAUCAUGCCUUUGGAGCUGAUCUAUAAGUACAGCAAUCUCAGUGAGGGAGCCUGUAAGCCUGGAUUUGCAGCUGCAAAGAUGACUGCCAUAUAUCCAAGCUUCAACAAACUGGCGCCUAUGUUCCUUGAUCCAAAUUACAAAAGAUUUUCCAAGAUUGGUGAUUACCCGCCUCCAUUUGGGAUAAAAUCACGAGAGAAGAGCAUAGAUAUUCUCCUUUCAGCUACUAAGAGCUAUGGCCUUGGAGAAGAACUUGACAGCAUUAGCUGUAAGACGUGUGUCAUUGUAGGAAACGGAGGAAUUCUCACCAAUAAGUCUCUGGGGCAGAGGAUUGAUCAGUUCGAUGUAGUUGUCAGGUUAAAUGAGGCCCCAGUUAAAGGGUUUGAAAAAGAUAUUGGCUCCAAGACCACGAUGAGGAUCACCUAUCCAGAGGGGGCGAUCCAGAAGACAGAGCGCUACGAGGCUCAAUCUCUGUUUGUCCUCUCAGCCUUUAAAGCUCUGGACCUCAAAUGGCUUCGACACAUGGUCUUUAACCAGAGGCUGCGCAGCACUGAUGGCUUCUGGAAGUCGGUGGCCAGACACGUGCCAAGGGAGCCCAGCGACAUGCGCAUCCUGAACCCCUACUUCAUCCAAGAGGCCUCCUUCAAGCUUAUUGGAUUACCUUACAACAAUGGACAGAUGGGUAGAGGGAAUAUUCCAACCCUGGGGUCAGUUGCCAUAACAAUGGCACUUCAUAACUGCGAUGAAGUAGCCGUGGCUGGAUUUGGCUACAACAUGAAGACUCCCCAUGCCCCUUUGCACUACUAUGAGAAGAUUAGGAUGUCAGCCAUCAAAGAGUCCUGGACUCACAACAUAUCUAAAGAGAAAGAGUUCCUGGUGAAGCUGGUGAAGGCUGGGGUCAUCCAGGACUGGACCAGUGGGAUCUGUGGUGCAGGAUGCUGAUAGACUGCAUUUCCCCACCAAAAUGUGCUCCAACAUCUGAAGAGGGAAGCUCAAGGCGCCACAUUCACAUAAAAGUGGAUUCCAUGUCCUGGCUUAAGGAUUAAAAAGGGAGAACCACUGUGACUGUGACCCAAUGACGAAUGUUUCUACCAAGACACAUUCUUAUGGAGCACUGCCCAACUGAGGUCAUCCGUGGAUUGAAUGGUAUAUGUGAAAGAUUUGAGUCUCACCUCAUAAAUAUGCCAUCUUUUUGCAACUUGUUUGUCAUUGUGAUGGUGACUAUCAUUUCCAUCAAUCAUAAUAGACAUAGCACCCAACCAAUUAGAUGAUUGACACAUCUGAAUAAAAAAAUACUAACGACGAAAAUGUAAAUAGCAGAUACACUGAAUUCUAAUCAAUCAGUCCAUUUUCAUUUGUAUAGCUCAUAUUCACUAAUCACAGUUUGGUCUCAUGGGCUUUAACAAGGUGUGACCUCGUCUGCCCUUAACCCCCAACAAGUCAGGAAAAACUACUAAAAAACUAUUAACAGGGUAAAAAACUGAAGAAACUUCAGAGGGCCACAUGUGAGGGAUCCCUCUCCCAACAAUAUACUCCACUUGUAGCAGAGCAGGUCAACAGAAUAACAAUAUUUAUAACAUUGAUAAGAAAAGACGAUGUCUAACAUAAAUGAAGAGGUGUAUCAAUGUUUAAAGUUUUUGUUCAUAAUAGAAUGUCUGAUUGUAAUUUGUGAAUAUGGGCUAUACAAAUAAAAUUUGAUUGAUUGAUAGAAAUGAAUGGAGCAGUAAUAGCAGUUUGUAAUGACAGGAUUUGAAUUAAUGGUAGAAUAUUUAAGGUUAUAUUUAAUAUCUAAACAAUCAAGUCCUGGCUGAUCGUAAUAAUAAUGGCUGAUCCCUUAUUGUGUUGGCAUCUUAUAAUGGUGGUGGACCCCCAACAAUUACUGUACACACUGUAGUAAUAUCCAGCUUUAACAGUAACAUUGGUAUCAGUGAGUAACUGCCAGAAAAUGUUGUCAGAGGGGGAACAUUCAAACUCAGAGUAAGGAAGGUCCCUCUGUACACUAGAAAACUACUGCAGCUUCCACAACACUGCUUAUUUUCGUUGAAUAUAUAUGUUGUAACUUGAUCCAACAUGCAACUUUAAUGGUUGAGCUGCUCUUGGUACAGGCGGUACUGUUUGUGACUUUAUACAGUAGCUCAAGAGUGCUGAAAGAAAACUAAAGUUUUCACUGAUGUCAGUCAAUUUGCACCGACUGGGAGAGAACCUUACUCUAUAUUUCAAUGGUGCACUUGACUGCCUGCGUAAAGAUAACUGCAGAUGUGAUUAAUAUCCCUUCUAUGCCUGUGAAUCGUGCAGUGGUGAAGGACAGAGAAUCUGUAAGGGACCUGGAUGAAAAUUAAAAAGGGGUCAUGGUUCAUUCCUGCUGUCGAGAGUCAGUCACCCGAUCCUCUCAGGUAUCCCUCUAUUGGGACACUGAUCCAACAAAGAAAUGUGGAUACCUGUUAAGGCACAGACAUAACAGUGGCCUAGCUAGCACUAAACAACAUACAAAGCAUAUAGAAAAUAAUUAUGGAGGCAUAAAUUAGAUGGUCAAAAAGAGAAGGUCAGAUUGAGUUACAUACCAUAAUAAGUUAUAUAAAUUUGAAGUAUAUUAAAAUAGUGAUGUGUUUCAAGUUAAACGGAUAUUAGCUUAUUUCAUACAGCUGCUAGCAAGCCAGUGAGGUUUGUUCUAAAGAAAAUAUCACACAAUUGUCCAAAUGUGAAAAGCUGCACAUUUUUCAGAAGCAUAUGUAGAGGUCAUCCUCAGAAAUAUUUCCACAAACCUCAAUCAGAGCCUCACACAACACCAACAACACAAAGAAUGUUCUAAUCAGGAAGCAUCAAAUUAUGCUCACAAGGUGAAAGGAGGGCUAGGUUUGAAGGAAUAAACAGUGGUUCCAAGCCUUACUUAAAAUGACAAGGGGUUGGAGGAAACAAACAAGUCACUAUGCACCAGUGAAUCAGUUUACAGGUUAUGGCAGGUUGUAAAUAUCUUUCUUAGAUGUGUGCCAUGUAGCAUGACUAACAGAGAUGUAAAUGUCAAAGUGUGAGUCAAGCAUUUAUAUAGAACGACGUAAACGUAUCCUGUAAGAGUUGAACACAUAAUCAACACACAAACAAUGUCUUGUUACAGCCUUCAUCCUGGUCAAGCACUGCAGCAGGAAACAUAUUUAGAAUGUAGAGAUCAUAUAAAGCUUUGCAUAUGGACAGAAGAAGCAGAUGGCCACUAUUAAAAGAGGAGCCUUGACCUGACAUGUUCUCACACUGUGUGUUUGGGCAGGUGGAGGGGGUCACAGGGUGAUGCACGCAAACAGAAGCUCCUUACUACUAUGUAGGUGGUCUAGGGGUGACAGUAUGAGCUUGGCGAGGACACAGGGACAACGUCUACAUACCGGCUACCAUGCACAACCCGGCUUCGGCUACAGACAAGGUUUCCAUCCUGUUCACUUCCUUUUCAUGUGUGGAACCUGAUCCCAACCAAUCAGCCCACACCAUAAUUUUGGUUUAAUUAAUCCUGACUGGAGGCGGGCUGAGGUCUGCUCUGCAGUGGAGUGUGGCUGUGCAGGCUCAGGUUGCAUAGUCCUUUAUUCCCACUGACAGUUGAUGUGGGGGCUUCUUCAGAUGCAAUCCAUGCAUCUCUCUCAACGUCACAAAGUUCAUGUCCGAAAAAUAUCUUCAAUAUCUAAUGUCACACAGAGCUAAAAAACCAAGGAAUAUUUGCUACUGACCUGAAAAUAAAUUCUAAACCUUACUAUGUAAAGUUUGUUGAAAUAAUGUAUGUUACAUUCGGUAUUAUACAAAUAAAAUUUAAUUGAAUGUA